rnacentral:miRNA from 1 species
GCUUGACGAUCGGGCCUGGAGAGC